CAGUAGCCGCGGUAAUACGUAGGUGGCAAGCGUUGUCCGGAAUUAUUGGGCGUAAAGGGCUCGCAGGCGGUUUCUUAAGUCUGAUGUGAAGCCCCCGGCUCAACCGGGGAGGGUCAUUGGAAACUGGGAAACUUGAGUGCAGAAGAGGAGAGUGGAAUUCCACGUGUAGCGGUGAAAUGCGUAGAGAUGUGGAGGAACACCAGUGGCGAAGGCGACUCUCUGGUCUGUAACUGACGCUGAGGAGCGAAAGCGUGGGGAGCGAACAGGAUUAGAUACCCCAGUAGUCCCUGUCUCUUAUACA
rnacentral:rRNA from 1 species